AGAGUUUGAUCCUGGCUCAGAGCGAACGCUGGCGGCGUGCCUAACACAUGCAAGUCGAACGUGAACGGGGGCAACCCUUAGUAAAGUGGCGUACGGGUGAGUAACGCGUAGGUAAUCUACCCCAGAAUCUGGAAUAACCUGCCGAAAGGCGGGCUAAUACUGGAUAGAGCGAGGAAUUCGUAAACGGGUUUUUCGGGAAAGGGGGCUCGCAAGAGCUCUUGUUUUGGGAUGAGCCUGCGUCUCAUUAGCUAGUUGGUGGGGUAAUGGCCCACCAAGGCUUUGAUGGGUAGCUGGUCUGAGAGGAUGAUCAGCCACACUGGAACUGAAACACGGUCCAGACUCCUACGGGAGGCAGCAGUGGGGAAUCUUGCGCAAUGGACGAAAGUCUGACGCAGCCACGCCGCGUGAGUGAAGAAGGCCUUCGGGUUGUAAAGCUCUGUCGGGCGGGACGAAAACUUCCAGGACUAAUACUCCUGGGAAUUGACGGUACCGCCAAAGGAAGCACCGGCUAACUUCGUGCCAGCAGCCGCGGUAAU
rnacentral:rRNA from 1 species